CGGAGGCAGCAGUGGGGAAUAUUGGACAAUGGGCGCAAGCCUGAUCCAGCAAUGCCGCGUGAGUGAGGAAGGCCUUAGGGUUGUAAAGCUCUUUCACCCGCGACGAUGAUGACGGUAGCGGGAGAAGAAGCCCCGGCUAACUUCGUGCCAGCAGCCGCGGUAAUACGAAGGGGGCGAGCGUUGUUCGGAUUUACUGGGCGUAAAGGGCGCGCAGGCGGCUACAUUUGUCAGGCGUGAAAGCCCCAGGCUUAACCUGGGAACUGCGUUUGAUACGGUGUGGCUAGAGUUCGGGAGAGGAGAGUGGAAUUCCCAGUGUAGAGGUGAAAUUCGUAGAUAUUGGGAAGAACACCGGUGGCGAAGGCGGCUCUCUGGACCGAUACUGACGCUGAGGCGCGAAAGCGUGGGGAGCAAACAGGAUUAGAAACCCUUGUAGUCCG
rnacentral:rRNA from 1 species